AAGUCGUAACAAGGUUUCCGUAGGUGAACCUGCGGAAGGAUCAUUAAUGAAUUUUCACCAAACACAUAUGGGAGAAUUUCAAAAAAAAAAUAAUUCCAUAUCCACCUUGUGUGCACCUCAACAAAAUAUUUUGUGAAAGUCCUUUUGGUCGUUGCAUAAAAGAUAAUUUUAUCACGGCCAAAAGGCAACUUUCUCAUUCUUUUUUUUAACGCGUCUGAAAACAAAACAAGUCUGAAAAAUUCAUAAAAAUGGAAAUAUAUAUAUAAUAAUAUUAAAACAACUUUCAGCAACGGAUCUCUAGGCUCUU
rnacentral:misc_RNA from 1 species